rnacentral:tRNA from 1 species
GGAGUUGUCGCCAAGUUGGUUAAGGCCCUAGUCUGCAAAACUAGUAUUCGUCGGUUCAAAUCCGUCCAACUCCU